rnacentral:rRNA from 1 species
AAUCUGGCUUCAGGUUCGGGACGACAGUUGGAAACGGCUGCUAAUACCGGAUGUGCCUUAGGGUGAAAGAUUUAUCACCUGAAGAUGAGCUCGCGUCUGAUUAGCUAGUAGGUGUGGUAAGAGCGCACCUAGGCGACGAUCAGUAGCUGGUCUGAGAGGAUGAUCAGCCACACUGGGACUGAGACACGGCCCAGACUCCUACGGGAGGCAGCAGUGGGGAAUUUUCCGCAAUGGGCGAAAGCCUGACGGAGCAAUACCGCGUGAGGGAGGAAGGCUCUUGGGUUGUAAACCUCUUUUCUCAGGGAAGAACAAAUGACGGUACCUGAGGAAUAAGCAUCGGCUAACUCCGUGCCAGCAGCCGCGGUAAUACGGAGGAUGCAAGCGUUAUCCGGAAUGAUUGGGCGUAAAGCGUCCGCAGGUGGCAAUGUAAGUCUGCUGUCAAAGCGUCUGGCUCAACCAGAUAAAGGCAGUGGAAACUACAUAGCUAGAGUAAGGUAGGGGUAGAGGGAAUUCCUGGUGUAGCGGUGAAAUGCGUAGAGAUCAGGAAGAACACCGGUGGCGAAAGCGCUCUGCUGGACCUUAACUGACACUGAGGGACGAAAGCUAGGGGAGCGAAUGGGAU